GGUGCCUUCAGGAAUAGCAUCAGAGGGCAAGGAUUCUCUGUAGGGCACAGAAGGAUGACACUACCCCGCCCUCUGGUGAGACCAUGUGACUAGUCCUGGCCAAUGGGCUGUGAGAGUGAGGAAGUCACUCCUGGGCCAAGGGUCUCAGAACUACAAGGGGAUCUAUAAGCCUGCCAGGUCACUCUUUCUGCUUUGAACACAGUGGUUACAGGACUGCGUUUAACGAACACAUAGAAGAAAGAAGAAAAAAGCUUGAGGCUGCAGAGAGAAGAAAGAGAAUUAUCUUUAUUUUUCCAGGCACAGCCACUGGCUGGGGGCUGUGCUGACCUGCCUAGAUUCUGAAGCAACAGCCAAAUUUAGUAUGUGGUGUGCUUGGGGUGAGAUAUAACUGGUUUUCCUGGAAGGUAUCCUAUCCCAGGAGCAGACAGAAUGAAAUGUAUUUUUGCAUUUUUUUCCCCAAGCUCCCCUCUCUUCCUUUAGUAUCCAAUGGGCUCCCUGUAAGCAAGUUAAACUUUUGACCUUAUUUCUCUUGUGAUUCCCAUCUUCUCACCUUAAAC
rnacentral:lncRNA from 1 species